rnacentral:rRNA from 1 species
UAUGGUGGUUUUACCGAGGGUGCUCCACCUCUUCCCAUUCCGAACAGAGAAGUUAAGACCCUCAUGGCCGAUGGUACUGGAUUCAGUUCCGGGAGAGUAGGUAGCUGCCAUAU